rnacentral:rRNA from 1 species
AUGUGGGAUGGGGAUCUUAUCAGACUGACCUUGUGGCCCGUUGAUUCACAACAGUGCCAGAAGGCAAAAGAGGUCUGGAGAAGGCUUGGCUUAGACGAGACCAUUGCUCAAGCUUGUGAAGUUGAUCGUGCUGGAGAGGCGGUCCUUGGUUAUUUGUUGCACCUGCCUGACCAAGAUUUAUCUAUUAUGAGGUUUCAAAAUAUUUGGGAGAUGAUUGCCAUUACGUCUAAUUUGUGGUGGGAAAGACGUAAAUUAGUGCACAAUGAGAGAAUUCAAGACGCAAAACAGAUUUCAAUGGGGAUACAAGCUCUUACGGCUAAUUAUGUUGUUGCUUCGAGUCCAAGGGCUUCUAUGGAAAGAGGGGGUUGGACUCGUCCCCCGGUGGGAUUUGUGAAACUUAAUAUUGAUGCUUCCUUUGAUCAUGAUCUUCUUAAAGGUUUGAACACUGUAAUAGAGAAGCCAAUAAGGUUGCGCACGAGCUUGCUAGGUUGGCUAGAUUUUCUUCUACUGUUGUUGGGUUUGAGGAGCCUAUGA